GGGGUUAUCGCGUAACCAGGUAGCGUGGCUGGCUCCAGACCAGCAUGUCGGGGUUCAAACUGCGUCGCUAAGUGCUGACUUUCCUCGUGACCCCA
rnacentral:tRNA from 1 species